rnacentral:miRNA from 1 species
UGGAGAAGCAGGGCACGUGCAAUUUCUCGAGUUUUGGCAGGUCACGUGAUCUCUGUAGGAUUUGCACGUGCUCCCCUUCUCCAAC